AUCAUGUGGUGUAGGCAUGAUGGAUGACGAUUUGCUUUUGAUGGUCUGCUCUGGUGUUUGCAGUGGCGACAGUGGCACUACUAGCUCAUGUUAUCAAAGUCAGAAAUUGGAAAGGCCAGUUGAACAUACCCGAUCCAGCAGCUUUUGGGUUCAAAGAAGAUGGUUUUUGGCGAAGUUAAGUAAGAUGGUUUUUUUAAU